AAAUUGAAGAGUUUGAUCAUGGCUCAGAUUGAACGCUGGCGGCAGGCCUAACACAUGCAAGUCGAACGGUAACAGGAAGCAGCUUGCUGCUUCGCUGACGAGUGGCGGACGGGUGAGUAAUGUCUGGGAAACUGCCUGAUGGAGGGGGAUAACUACUGGAAACGGUGGCUAAUACCGCAUAACGUCGCAAGACCAAAGAGGGGGACCUUCGGGCCUCUUGCCAUCAGAUGUGCCCAGAUGGGAUUAGCUGGU
rnacentral:rRNA from 1 species